GUCUUUUAGAUUAUAAUUUAAAGUCUGGCCUGCCCAAUGAUUAUUUUAAUGGCCGCAGUAUAUUGACUGUGCUAAGGUAGCAUAAUAAUUAGUCUUUUAAUUUGGGACUUGAAUGAAGGGUUGAAUGAGAAAACUUCUGUCUCUUAAUAAUAAGACUGAAUUUUAUUUUUAGAUAAAAAAGUCUAAAUUUUUUUGAAAGACGAUAAGACCCUAUAGAGUUUUAUUAAUUUUAAAUAAUUUUAAAUUGGUUAAAUAGAUUAAUUUUUUUAAUAUUAAUUUGAUUGGGGUGAUUGUAAAAUUAGAUUAACUUUUAUUUAUUUUGAACAUAGAUUUAUGAAUUUAUUGAUCCGUUAUUAACGAUUAAAAGAUUAAAUUACCUUAGGGAUAACAGCGUAAUUUUUAUUGAGAGUUCUUAUCGAAAUAAGAGUUUGCGACCUCGAUGUUGGAUUAAGAUUAAAUUUUGGUGAAGAAGCUAAAAAUUUAGGUCUGUUCGACCUUUAAAAUCUUACA
rnacentral:rRNA from 1 species